CAUGACCUGAGCUGAGGUCCAAUGCUUAACCCAGCGAGCCACCAAGGCAGGGGCCCUGUGUGAUACUUAUAAGAGAAUAUCUCUCCCACCACCCUCGUUCUCCCUGCUUUAGAGAUCAUAUUGUGGGGACAGGAGACCUGGAGCUGAAGCACGUAUUUUGUGACCACUAGGCAAGAAGCCUGAAGGAAAAUUCCAGAAUAAUAGGAGGAAUCGGAAAGAGAAAACCACCAUUUGGGUCAUUGAGAUCAUACUUGGGCUGGCAAUCAAGCCUUAUUUUUAUUGGUAAUGAAUAUUCUCUGGCUUAAUGCAUGGUUACUGUGGUUUUCUAGUUCCUAGAACAGUGUCUGGCACAUGGAAGGAAAUCCAAAGUGUUUGUUGAUUCAAUAGCUUAAAUUUUGGUCAUUUUCAUGUUCCAAACAUCCAAUACGGUUCUUCAUAUGCAUUAGCUGAUGGAGAAGCUGAAACCUACAGGCUGUACAGAGGUAUCUCAGAUCAUACCUUUGGUUCAAAUAAAACCCAGAACAGAAGAACUGGAAAGACUGCAGGUGCAGUGACCGGAAGUUCUCUACAGUUGCUAAGAAGACUCUAAGGAUAUUGAAAGUUAAGUAGGGCCACACCUCAGGAGCCACAUGAAAGAUUGGCUGAACUCCAAAAUGAAGAAGAAAAAUACAUAACGAAUCAUUUUCAGUCUCUACUGGCACCUUCACCACAAAUCUAGUAGACUAAUUAAACACUGUAUGGAUUACAUUCUAUUAAAAACAUAUUGUAUAUAGAGAGAUUAUCUCAUAUAUGGCUUAUUUACCUAACCAUAGCCUAUUUGAAGACAACUUAUUUGACUUGAAGAUAAAGGUUGAGAACUGAAACUACCUACCCUUACCCACAGUUUGGACACUAAGGAAUUAAAUUGCCUGUUUUGCCCUCACUACCCACAGAUAACCUAACCCCCUACUUUACAUGACUUUACUAUUCCAUUGUCUUCACAGGUGUGACUUUCAAAAGACCCAUCAAUUCUUCAAUGGAAAACAUCAACACACAGUCUGCAUCCUAAGAUUCUUGGAAUGUCUUGCCUGAAAAAUCCUUGCCUGCUGUUUUUGACAACCCUGGACUAUUGUCUCUUAAUCUUUACCCAGUUCUCAUCAAGCUCCCCAGCGAACUAAAUCUCUGAUUCUCAAUUAGUGCUGAAUUCGUUCCCCCACAGAGACAUUACCAAAGCUUUGCAGAGGUUGUGUUCUUCGUUAAUAUAUGUUAACAUCAUCCAUAUAUCUGAUUCAGAUUUUUGAAAAUGUACAGAUGAGCUGUUGCUAUAGGAGAAAAGGCCACAUCUUGACUGAAUUUCAUAGAUUCCAGGAAGGAUUGUAUUAAUCAUCCUUGUUUAUGUGCACCUAAGACUCUGACUUCUAUUUGGGAUAUCAUGUGGUUUUAGGAGGAUGUAACUCCAGCCAUCAGCUUAAAGAAUACAGCAUCUGACCUGGACCAAGCCAGUUGGAACAAUAAACUCCUCUAACCACCAUGACUGGUUUAAGAGUUGGCCUAAUCAGAGAGAGGGAAUUUUGAGAAAGCCAAGACCUUCUUUUGCUUCAGAUAGGAUGACCCACAGAGUGAAGUCUAGAACUCUUGAAGCCAUUGUGUUUUAUUCACAGAACCUACUUAGGGAUAAGAAGGGCACACAAAGAAAGAAAGGGGUGAAAAAUUGAAAGCAAGACCAAGACACAGACCGGUUACAUUGUAACCAAACCGUGCCUAAAGCCUGCCCUAUGUCUUGG